rnacentral:rRNA from 1 species
ACUGCAUACGUCCUACGGGAGAAAGCAGGGGACCUUCGGGCCUUGCGCUAUCAGAUGAGCCUAGGUCGGAUUAGCUAGUUGGUGAGGUAAUGGCUCACCAAGGCGACGAUCCGUAACUGGUCUGAGAGGAUGAUCAGUCACACUGGAACUGAGACACGGUCCAGACUCCUACGGGAGGCAGCAGUGGGGAAUAUUGGACAAUGGGCGAAAGCCUGAUCCAGCCAUGCCGCGUGUGUGAAGAAGGUCUUCGGAUUGUAAAGCACUUUAAGUUGGGAGGAAGGGCAGUAAGCUAAUACCUUGCUGUUUUGACGUUACCGACAGAAUAAGCACCGGCUAACUCUGUGCCAGCAGCCGCGGUAAUACAGAGGGUGCAAGCGUUAAUCGGAAUUACUGGGCGUAAAGCGCGCGUAGGUGGUUCGUUAAGUUGGAUGUGAAAUCCCCGGGCUCAACCUGGGAAACUGCAUCCCAAAAACUGGCGAGCUAGAGUAGGGCAAAAGGGUGGGUGGGAAUUUUCCCUGU